GAUGAAGAACGUAGCAAAAUGCGAUAAGUAAUGUGAAUUGCAGAAUUCAGUGAAUCAUCGAAUCUUUGAACGCACAUUGCGCCCGCUAGUAUUCUGGCGGACAUGCCUGUCCGAGCGUCAUUUCAACCCUCAAGCCCCCGGGCUUGGUGUUGGGGAUCGGCGAGCCUCCGCGCCCGCCGUCCCCUAAAUCUAGUGGCGGUCUCGCUGUAGCUUCCUCUGCGUAGUAGCACACCUCGCACUGGGAAACAGCGCGGCCACGCCGUUAAACCCCCAACUUCUGAACGUUUGACCUCGGAUCAGGUAGGAAUACCCGCUGAACUUAAGCAUAUCAAUAAGCGGAGGA
rnacentral:misc_RNA from 1 species